GUUGGCCAGGCUGGUCUCAAAUUCCUGACCUCAAGUGAUCGCCUGCCUCGGCCUCCCGAAGUGCUGGGAUUACAGGCGUGAGCCACUGCGGCCGGCCAAAAGUCCUUUUUUGAUUACUCGGUCUACAAUGUGGAAAAUGCACUAGAGGGGCAAGUUGACAGGAGCCAACUGGGGGAAGACUGAAUUAGGGUGAUGAUGGCUGAAAUGGAAAGAGGUGGAUAGACUUGAGAAAUACUGCAGAAGUAAAAAUCAACAAGGCCUGUUGAUGAAUUGCAUCUAGGGGUUGAGGAUGUACCAAGGAUGACAUAGUCAGAAGCCUUAUAAUGAUGUGUUAAUACAGUGUAAAAUAAACCCUUAGUUUGAGCUUCCCUCCCCUCUCCUACCAUCUUUUCCUAUUGUGAUAUCUCUCUUCUUUCUUUCCAGAAUAAAGAAACAUCAGAAAUAUAAAAACCAGGACCAAAAGGAGGCCCAGGGCCAGCAGGUCACCUCACUGAGGAUCAUUCUAUCCGCAAGCUAAUUCAGAACAGCCUGAAGCAUGUUUCGUCAUGAGCUAGAGCUUCUGCCGGGAUGAGGAGGGAGGAUUCAGCUCUGGUUUUCGGUACCGAACUGAACUGAGGGAAAAGCUCAAUUAAACAAUCCUGCUGAUUCAGAAUGACAAGGGAAUGAGCUCUCUGAAUUAUCUAAUGCUUCUGCCCAUGUUUGUUGAAUAAAUGAAUAUAUGGAACGUUAAAACAUAAAGCAAGAUGGGCACUGCGGCUCAUACCUAUAAUCCCAGCACUUUGGGAAGCUGAAGAAUGUAGAUCAUUUGAGCCCGGGAGUUCAAGACCAGCCUGGGCAACAUAGUGAAACCUUUGUCUCUGGGAAAAAUAGAAAAAAUUAGCCAGGUGUGGUGACCCGUGCCUGUAGUUCCAGCUACUCAGGAGACUGAGGUGGGAAGAUCACUUGAGCCUCAGACGUUGAGACUAUAGUGAGCCAUAAUUGCACACUGCACUCCAGCCUGGGAGAUAAAGAA
rnacentral:lncRNA from 1 species